rnacentral:rRNA from 1 species
GGCGGCGUGGGAUUAGGCAGUGCAAGUCGAACGGUAGGAUACUUUCGGGUAUCUGAGAGUGGCGAACGGUGAGUAACACGUUAGGUGAUCUACCCUCAAGAUUGGGACAACCCAGGGAAACUUGGGCUAAUACCGGAUGAAAGCAGCAGUGAUGUUGUUUGAAAGGUGGCGUAAGCUGCCGUUUGGGGAUGAGCCUGCGCUCUAUUAGUUAGUUGGCGGGGUAAAGGCCCACCAAGGCGAUGAUAGAUAGGCGGCCUUAACGGGUGGUCGCCCACACUGGGAUUGAGAUACGGCCCAGACUCCUACGGGAGGCAGCAGUCGAGAAUAGUCUACAAUGGCCGAAAGGCUGAUAGUGCGACGCCGCGUGAACGAAGAAGCCCUUCGGGGUGUAAAGUUCUUUUAUAUGUGAGCAGUGCUUUUCAUGUUAACAGCAUGGGGAGAGAGAUAUUAGCAUAUGAAUAAGCAACGGCUAACUCCGUG